AUGGACGUGUUUCUCAUGAUCCGGCGCCACAAGACCACCAUCUUUACGGACGCCAAGGAGUCGAGCACGGUGUUCGAACUGAAGCGCAUCGUCGAGGGCAUCCUCAAGCGGCCGCCAGAGGAGCAGCGGCUGUACAAGGACGACCAGCUCCUUGAUGAUGGAAAAACUCUGGGCGAAUGUGGCUUCACCAGUCAGACAGCAAGGCCACAGGCCCCAGCCACAGUGGGCCUGGCCUUUCGAGCAGAUGACACC
rnacentral:misc_RNA from 1 species